AGAGUUUGAUCAUGGCUCAGGACGAACGCUGGCGGCGUGCUUAACACAUGCAAGUCGAACGGAAAGGCCCUUCGGGGUACUCGAGUGGCGAACGGGUGAGUAACACGUGGGUGAUCUGCCCUGCACUUUGGGAUAAGCCUGGGAAACUGGGUCUAAUACCGAAUAGGACCACGCGCUUCAUGGUGUGUGGUGGAAAGCUUUUGCGGUGUGGGAUGGGCCCGCGGCCUAUCAGCUUGUUGGUGGGGUAAUGGCCUACCAAGGCGACGACGGGUAGCCGGCCUGAGAGGGUGACCGGCCACACUGGGACUGAGAUACGGCCCAGACUCCUACGGGAGGCAGCAGUGGGGAAUAUUGCACAAUGGGCGCAAGCCUGAUGCAGCGACGCCGCGUGAGGGAUGACGGCCUUCGGGUUGUAAACCUCUUUCACCAUCGACGAAGGUCCGGGUUUUCUCGGGCUGACGGUAGGUGGAGAAGAAGCACCGGCCAACUACGUGCCAGCAGCCGCGGUAAUACGUAGGGUGCGAGCGUUGUCCGGAAUUACUGGGCGUAAAGAGCUCGUAGGUGGUUUGUCGCGUUGUUCGUGAAAACUCACAGCUUAACUGUGGGCGUGCGGGCGAUACGGGCAGACUAGAGUACUGCAGGGGAGACUGGAAUUCCUGGUGUAGCGGUGGAAUGCGCAGAUAUCAGGAGGAACACCGGUGGCGAAGGCGGGUCUCUGGGCAGUAACUGACGCUGAGGAGCGAAAGCGUGGGGAGCGAACAGGAUUAGAUACCCUGGUAGUCCAA
rnacentral:rRNA from 1 species